rnacentral:lncRNA from 1 species
GUUUUACAACAGUUAUCUUAAAGUCUAUAAAUCAUGGUUAUUAGUACUCGUAAUAAUGAGAACUCUUAAUGGAUUCAAUGCAUCGUAUUGAAGAUUUUGGAAAUUUGCCAAAAGCAAUUGAUAAUAAUGUUCUUUCAUGCAACAGAUAUGUGAAUAUAUGCACAUUUUCAAGGAACAAUCGAUACAAGUAUUUAAUUUCAAUAAUUUCAUUAAAAGUAUAAUCGAACACUUCCUGAAAAGGGGGAUUUAUUAAUGUUAAUCAAUUAUAAUUUCCGCGUGUAUAAAUGACUAUCAAGGUCUCGCGCCAUUAUCAUCGAUUUAAAAUAUCAAAGUAUUUAUAAAUGCGCAUGCUCGGACUCAAAUGGCGCGGCAGAACACGUACAAGAGUGAUCGAGACAGAAUAUUAGCGGGACUAGCGAAGCUGAGAAGGACAUCGAAGUAAAAUGGCUGCAGCAAGUGCCAACAUAUACUUACACUUGUACUUUUCACGUAUCUUCUGGUAAUUUUCGAGCAUGAUCUCGCGUGAUAUUUGACCACGAUUAAGGGCACGGUCACCAAUGGAACGCAUGGACACAACAUGGCUGCUAGACGCGCGAAGCAACCAAGACGACUUCGCUUCGAUACUGAAGCACGAUAAGUGCUACGCACGCCACGUAUGACCGACUGUCACUGUCUGCUGUGCUCGCUCGAGGGGAUGAAGGGACUGUGUAUGGUUCUGGUUCAAUCAUGUUUCACGCAAUGUCGCCGAUACAUACGAUCAACUGUCAAGUGGGGAAAGCGGUAAUACCUAAAAGACGGAAAUAGAUAUAAAUUGUCCAUCUGCCGGGACGUUUUGAAAAGAAAGAAAUGAUCCGCACGGGAGCGAGGCGAAGCCUUAUCUCGAACCGAAGUGUCACGUUACAAAACAGAAACAUUGGGGAUUCGACGAUGUUUACCAUGGAACGGCAACACACCACGAAUCGGCGUGGAAUCGAAUGAGAUAAAAGUCGAAUGGGUGUUUCGUCCGGACGACAUGGACGCCUCGUCUUCGACUCGUUUCUUGUUGUCACACACGGUCCCGAGCCGUGUACGCUCACGGAUACACACACACACGCACACACGGUCCCGAGCCGUGUACGCUCACGGAUACACACACACACACGCACACACGGUCCCGAGCCGUGUACGCUCACGGAUACACACACACGGUUGGGCCGGUAUACGUGGCAGGCAACACACGUAUAGGAAGGCGAGGAACGCAGAUUGCUAGAGGCGCUGUUCCGCUGACCUACUCUACGAUUAUCACUCACUAUAGGCCGAUCGCCGGUGCAGGUGCGUGUGCGUUAACUAGCGUUGCCAACUAUACCUCCUCGAGGAAAGGAGGACGCGGUGCGGGGACGUAAUCAAAUAAACAUUUUCGGUCCUUUUACCGAUUUCUUCUCCUCCAACCCGAUCUCUUUUCAUCCAAAUGUAAUUUCACAUCCCAACGAAUAUUUAUCUCACGCUUUUUUACUCCUCAGAAUUGCGAUUAUUGGACGAUAAUAUUAAUCUUUCUCUUGACGAGUUA